ACUGACACAGGAUGACGAGGAUGAAGACGGUGAAUCUGAACAAUCAGGCAAGCAAAGUUUCUUCUUUGUUUAUUGUAAAACUUGCAAGAAACUAACACAAGGAAAAUUGCGAUGUCGAUGUUCAAAUUGCAAGGAAGGAAGCUUUGUUCUAUCACAGGGUCCAAAUGGUUGGGACGAUGUAUUGAUCAAAGGCCGAAUGCAGGGACAAUGUGAAUCCAAUACAAACUGUCAGGGAAAAACAGCUGAAUUUUAUUUCAAAUGUGGGGAACAUCAUGG